rnacentral:rRNA from 1 species
UACGGAAGGUCCGGGCGUUAUCCGGAUUUAUUGGGUGUAAAGCGUGUGUAGGCGGUAAGGUAAGUCAGCGGUGAAAUGCCCCCGCUCAACGGGGUGAAGUGCCAUUGAUACUGCCUUGCUGGAAUGCGGAUGCCGUGGGAGGAAUGUGUGGUGUAGCGGUGAAAUGCAUAGAUAUCACACAGAACACCGAUUGCGAAGGCAUCUCACGAAUCCGCGAUUGACGCUGAUGCACGAAAGCGUGGGUAUCAAACAGG